AACAUGCUUGCAACCUACAUAACACGAGGCCGCACUAUGGACCAGGACCCCUAUGGACUAGGUCCUCCUGCUGCAAGAAAAUCCACAAAGAUGAAAAACACACAAAAACUGAAUGGGUUCUUAUUUUUGAUAAAUAAUCAACCAAAAAUCGUAUCCAAAACUGAACAGAAAAUAAUAUUAAUGAGCUGUAAGUACAAGUGAAAUGAAAAUAAACCGGAACCUGAAACUGAACUGAAAUUCCCCGAAAUAUACAUUUAGAAAACGUUUCAAGAAACUACAUUAGACCGAGUCCUGUGGAUGAAGGACUACAUCCAGGUAUAAAAGAACAAGUACAAUACAUAAUUAGAACAAGUACAAUGCAUAGAUGGAACAAGUACAACACAUAAUCGUAUCCAAAACUGAACAGUUAAAAGCAAAUAACAUUAAUACAUGUAUUAUAAAAGGUUUCCAGUAUCCAGUAGCCUUGAAUGAUGACCACUGGGAAGACUGAGGAGUCCAGCUGACGAUCGAUUCCUGCUACAUAUCCAAACAAUAAAAGACGUCGUAAUAUAAGAUCUUGCAUGGGACGCCAGGUGCAAGUUAAUGUAAAAUCAAGUAUUACGACACUCCCACAUGUCUGGGUGAAACCAAAAAAAAAACUAUUAAAAAUAUUUAAAUGGCCCUAUUAUAA